UCCAGUGUCUCCCCUUUAGUCACUGAGUCUAACAGUUCCUUAGCACCUUUUUCUCGACCCGGGUUGGGUUUUCCAAGAACAAAGGUGUGCAGCCUCCCUCCUCCAGAGCUCCUGCAGCCAAGUUGUGUGGCCCGGACCCAACAUUCGAGUUUACGUGGACCUGCGAGAGGAACACGAUGUCUCUGGAGCAAGUGGAAAGUAUUUUCAAUGAAGCAGUGGAUUGAAGAAGUUCAGUGAGGCCCUCGUCAGACAAUAAUUCCUCUGCACGAGAUAGAGUGAACUCAUUAACGUCUGUAUCAUCUAUUUCAAAAUUAAAUUUCUUCCGCAGUUUAA